GAUCAGCUGAAAUGCUUUCUUCCUGGGCACCACUAGCCAAGAGGAGGCUGAGGCCCUGCCACGGGGCCGCGCACUGGCGUUUUCCCACGGUCUGCAUGGCAUAACGUGACAGGUGUGGAGAUUGAACCCAGGGCCUUCACACUGAGCUAUGCCGCCCUUCAUUUGGAGACAGGAUCUCACUAAGUGGCCCAGACAUUCAUCUUGCUGUCCCCUCCUUUCUGGAGUUAAGACAGCAAAGCCAGGGUGCUUAGGGAGGCUUCACACACGCAGGCCUGGCGGGGGACCACCAGCCCAGCUGGAGCCAAGCAAUGCCCAGCAGCAGAUGGCGCUGUCUCUGAAGACUCCUCUGAGGUGUCAUCAGGGUGAGCUUUGGGGAACAUUUCUGGUUGCAGUAUGACCCCAGUUCUCUCGGGCACCCCUCACCCACCUCUGUGACACAGCCCCGCAGUGCCCUCCCUCUGCGUCUGGCCAGGCCCUCGGUGUUGGCACACUGGGUGUGGCGAUGUGACACUAGCCAUGGGGCCUGUCUGUCUCCUACCCUCCUCUGUCGUCA
rnacentral:lncRNA from 1 species